UACGGAGGGUGCAAGCGUUAAUCGGAAUUACUGGGCGUAAAGCGCACGCAGGUGGCUGAGUCAGUCGAUUGUGAAAGCCCUGGGCUUAACCUGGGAAUUGCAGUCGAUACUACUCAGCUAGAGUAUGGGAGAGGGUAGUGGAAUUCCCGGUGUGAGCGGUGAAAUGCGUAGAUAUCGGGAGGAACAUCAGUGGCGAAGGCGGCUACCUGGCCCAAUACUGACACUCAGGUGCGACGAGCGUGGGGAGCAAACAGG
rnacentral:rRNA from 1 species